rnacentral:rRNA from 1 species
AGAGUUUGAUCCUGGCUCAGGAUGAACGCUAGCGGCAGGCUUAACACAUGCAAGUCGAGGGGCAGCGGGGAGUAGCAAUACUCUGCCGGCGACCGGCGAAAGGGUGCGUAACGCGUGAGCAACUUGCCCGUAUCCGGGACAUAAGCGGUGGAAACGCCGUCUAAUUUCCCAUAACAACGAGGGCCGCCUGGCCCAUGUUUGAAAGAUCCGUCGGAUACGGAUGGGCUCGCGAGACAUUAGCUUGUUGGUGAGGUAACGGCUCACCAAGGCGACGAUGUCUAGGGGUUCUGAGAGGAAGGUCCCCCACACUGGAACUGAGACACGGUCCAAACUCCUACGGGAGGCAGCAGUGAGGAAUAUUGGUCAAUGGGCGCGAGCCUGAACCAGCCAAGUAGCGUGGGGGAUGACUGCCCUAUGGGUUGUAAACCCCUUUUGCGCGGGGAUAAACCGGCGGACGCGUCCGCCGCUGCAGGUACCGCGCGAAUAAGGACCGGCUAAUUCCGUGCC